GCCCUGUCAAGGAGGGGAAGAUGAAAAAGAUGACCAUCUUUCUGAGAUCCGAGACAAAGACAAUGAGAAAGCUACUGAUGAGGAUCCAAACUAUGCCUUAUUUAAAGUCUAUGCUGAUCAGAAUGAUGAGCUGCUUGCUGUACAACUCCAGAAGCUCCUGAAUGACAGAUUCCCUCAUGGUAAGAUGAACAUGUGUGCUAUGAAAAGGUUCCAAAUCAUCAUUCAUAUCUUGUUGUUGUUUGUUUGCUUUUAUAGUGAAAAUUAAUGUUUUUCAACAGGGAGUGGCCACAGGGGCUUUAGUCUGGAUGCCUGCAGGAGUAUGAUUGCCUUGGUGGAUCUCGAUCAAAGGAUGACGAUGACCUUUACUGAAUUCUCAAUUCUCUGGAAGAAGAUUCAAGAAUACAAAAAUCUCUUUCAUCGCUCUGAUGUGAAUGAAAAUGGAUCCCUGUCUGAUGAUGAGCUCCAGAAUGCGAUUAAAGCUGCAGGAAUGGAUGUGAAUGAUGCCAGUGUGGGGCUGAUGAUGUCUCGAUAUUCAGGCUUCUCCACCACCUCUUUGGAGGAGUUCAUCACUCUCAUGUUGCGCCUGGAUAAGAUGUCAGACAUUUUCAAGGGCAAAUCAUCUGAUGGUGUGAUCCACCUGAACUGGGAUGAGGCGAGUAUAUUUAAUACCACUUAAUACUCUUUAAUGGUGCACUUUAAUAAAAGUGUCACUAUUAAUUAACCUUUGCUAUUGUGUGUAAUUAUAAUAUUAGGAUAAGUAAGAAUUGCCUUUUACUAUUAUAGGUGUGUUAAGUGUAAGUGUGUUAAGAAAAUUACUCUUUCAGUCGUUUAUUCAUGCAUAAU
rnacentral:lncRNA from 1 species